GCGCCCUGGGGUAACCACUAUCCCCGUGGGUCGGACCAAGCCAGGCAGCUCCCCAGCGGGACUCCGAAGACUGAGGUCCCGGCCUCCAAGCACCCCUCCACUGCCUUCUCCUGUCCGGCCAGCACAGAAUGAGGCUUCACGUCGAAGGCGCUGGGGCUGGAGGCCGGGAAACCGCAUAGCCACGGGUUUGAGCUAGAACUUCAGCUGCCGUCUGGAGGAUGCAAGUUUCGGCGAGGGGAGACCUGGAUGGGCUUUUCGACCCAGACUCAGCUGCCCUGGUCCAGUGGUUCUUAACAGUUCAACAGUUCUGUGUAGAGAUUGUGAAAUGUUUAGGACCACUUGAUCUGGGUAGGCAUCUUCUGCCGGCAGACCCGCCCACCCCGCCCGCGCCUGGGGCCGCCGCGCCCAACCUCGGUCCCACCUGAGCCCAGCCCCGUUCCACCCAGGGCAAGCGGGCGCCCGCCCAGACGUAGCUGCGUUCUCACGGCCCCGUCAGGGCAUCUGGGGUCGAACGUGGGGGUGGCCAGGGAGCGGGGGUGAGGGCGCGGAGCCUCGGGGAGAGGGAGGCGACAACCAGGGAAGGAACUUGUUUCCCAAGGUGGAGGUGCUGAGCUGGGACGACAUCAUAUUCGUCGUUUCUCAUUCCUACACCCUCAAUCUCUCUCUGUUUCUCUCUCUCUCUGUCUCUGUCUGUCUGUCUGUCUGUCUGUCUGUCUGUCUGUCUGUCUGUCUGUCUCUCACAUACACUCGGUGGGUGUCCCUCUCCUACAUGCACCCCAAACCUCAAAAAACUGUGAAAUCUCAGAACUGGAAGGGGCCUCCUAUCCUGGAGGACUUCUGGAUUCAUUAGCUGUUUGAAGACUGCCUGCCAAGUUACUUGGUCUUCUGGAAAGUGAAGCUGUGAGGCCCAGGGCCUGGUGGUGUGGCCAGAGAGCUGCCCUUCCAGUCUACAAGUCCUGUCUCUGCUCCAUAGUGGGUGUAUAACUCAGGCCAAGUUACUAAGUAGCUCUUAACCAGCCAAUUUAAUUUCUGAGAAAGUGUUGAUAUGCCUGGGAGAGGGGAAUUUUUUUACCCUGAGCUCCCUACUCCGGUAGAAUCACAGGUGUGGGUCAAAAAAUAUGGAUAAUGCUAUUCACUUUCCUUCUGUCAGGGCCCAUGUGAAGAAAGUGUUUUGUAAAUCUAAGACUGUGGAAACGCUAUGAAAUGGAACCUGACUCCCAGAAAGAUGAAUUGUCCUAUCUUGUGGCAAAAAAAAAAAAAAAGAUUUGUUUUAAUUGGUCCCAAAGUCUUGGAAAAUGG